rnacentral:lncRNA from 1 species
UCAACAAACGAAUCGAAAUCUCUUAUUCUGUUCUGCUGAUAUAACUCAACCAAAUUUUAUCCAGCAGAACAGAAUAAGGGGACUAUUAAUACUUGAUUGAUUCUAAACAUCCGUUCUGGAUAUUUUGUAAAUCAAUUUUUGAAUCGAAAAUGAAAAGAAAGAUUGUCAUGGUCGAAGCAAGACUUCCCGAUUCCUUUCUACUACUAAUGUAAUGUCUACUGAUUGGUUUGGAUAGCCGGCAGAUAAUUUAACUACUGGUUGGGGGAAGUUCUUUCUAUACUAUAAUCUACAUAUAUAGACUCGCGAGAAUCUCUGAGUGUUUAGGCAUUCAAUCACUAUUAGAUUAGAUUGAGAUGGAUAAUUUCCUUUUUUAUAGAAAAUAAAAGUGAAAAAAAAAUUUUAACCCCUCGUCAAAAGUAUAAUAUACUAUCUCUCAACUCCUUCAGAGAGACAAUCGGGAAAGGGUACGUAUUAGAUCAAAUAGGAAAAUUUUGUAAUAGAUAGCAAUUGAUCUAUUUUUACUUUGAAGGGCAAUAAAAAAUGAUUGGACCCUCUUAUUUAUUUUAUUACUAGAUGUUCCAUUAGUAACAUUCCUUUGUAAUGUUAUUUUUUAUUUUACUUGUGUUUAGUCUUUCCCGAUUAGAAAUAAUAUAGGAAUUUUUGAAAUGGAUUUAUUUGAUUGGUUCAUCAAUAGUGUUCGGCCAGAAUCCCUUUUUGACUCUGGACCAUUAAUUCUACUAUUAUUAGUGAGCAAUAAUGGAAUAAUUCUAUCAUAGAGAUAAGGGACAUAAUUCACAUGGAUAUAGUAAGUCUCGCUUGGGCUGCUUUAAUGGUAGUCUUUACAUUUUCCCUUUCACUCGUAGUAUGGGGAAGAAGUGGACUUUAGAAGCACUCCUAAUUUAGUUGAGGAAUGAAACGGUAUCAAUUGUUUUAUAGAUCGUUCUGCAACGCAUUUUUGAUUGAAAAUUAUUCAAUUCAAAUCAAAAUAUCUUCAUUUUCAAAUUCCAUUGGAUUCUAGUGGAGAAAUAUAUUCUAUAACAGUAAAACAAUUAUUUCAGAUUCAUCGGAAUAAAUAGAUGUAUCAAACGAACUAGAAUUGGGUCCUACGUCAAUUACAUAUAUGGAUUAAUAAUUACAUCUAUUGAAGAUAGAAGCUAAUAUUGAAGAUAGAAGCUAAUAUAGUAUACCAACUUUAUUAGAAACAAUUUUUAUACACUAUUAUAACACUAAUAGAGAGUAUGGUAAGUAAGAAUUUAUUUCUUACUUACCAUACUCUCGGAUCUCAUAGAAGACCGCCGAUGAUAGCCCGUUUGAUUUCAUUUAAGACGUAAAAAUAGAAUACUUUUCAUUUGAUUUCUUCAACUAUUGAUAAGAAUUCAGAAGUCAAGUUUCAUUUAAAGUAAUUAAUCAUUUUGACUGACUGUUUUUUACGUAAAUUAUAAGUAGAAAAGCAGUAGGAACUAAAAUGAACAGUGCAGUAGCAAUAAAUGCAAGAAUAUUUACUUCCAUAAUCUCAUCGUUUUUUUAUUUCACAAUAACUCGGGAUUUAAUCCCAUAGAGAUGAUAAAUCUUUCACCUGUCAAUUCAAUGAAUGCAUUACCUAUCGAUGAUCUUGAAUCGGAUCAAUAUCAUGAAUAAUAAUAUCUGAGCUAUUAAAUUAAUUCGUCGUCGAGAAUUGAAUAGUAUAACAUACGAACAUCUUUUAUCCAUACCAAAUCCAAUCUUGGAUUCCCGGACCAACCAAAAGUUGCUUUACUUUCUGUAUCCUUCUUUUCUGUUCUUUCUUUUCUAUAACCUACCUUAGGUCUUCCUUAUAGAACCAUCAAACGAAACGAAAUCUAACCGGCCGUCCGAACUACAAAACCCCAACAAACAAUACAAACGAAGUGGAAAAAGAGAGGAAUUAGGUUCUAAAUUUUAAUUAUCUAAUUUCUUGGAGACAAGGAAGUAUGAGAAAGAUGAGUCGCAGGAGAAAAGAUGGAAUAUUCUAUCAACUCACUAUUUUAGUUAUUUUCAUUUUAGUUUAGGGUUUGUUCUUUCUUCGACAGAAUCCUGAAAAAAAGAAGGGAAACCCCUUCGGAAUUCAAUUAUGCUCUCUGUCCCUUCUUUCACAG